rnacentral:lncRNA from 1 species
AUCAACCUUGAUAGAGAGGAGUAGUUCUAUAGAAUUUUAAAGGCUAAGUCCAAAAAUCUAUGGCCACAGUAGUGUGAUUGAUAGAAAAGAGUUUUCAUAGAAAUCACAUUUGGACUUGAGCUAAUCGAAUCUAUCAUAUGACUGAUGUUAAGGUUUGACGAUUUAUCCAUGACCUGCCAUCAAGUCGGGACUCACAAUAAAGAAACUGAAUCACACAUUAACCACACCUAGAGGUUCAUUUCGGUUCUACUAGAUUGUCACUACAUACUGCUAGGUGUCACUGGU